rnacentral:rRNA from 1 species
UACGUAGGGGGCUAGCGUUGUCCGGAUUUAUUGGGCGUAAAGAGCGUGUAGGCGGCCAGGUAGGUCUGCUGUGAAAACUCGAGGCUCAACCUCGAGACGUCGGCGGAAACUAUCUGGCUAGAGUCCGGAAGAGGAGAGUGGAAUUCCUGGUGUAGCGGUGAAAUGCGCAGAUAUCAGGAAGAACACCAGUGGCGAAGGCGGCUCUCUGGGACGGUACUGACGCUGAGGCGCGAAAGCGUGGGGAGCGAACAGG